CUUUGAAAACACUGCAUCUCUCCAGAAAGGUAAUGGGAUGGAGGCCAGAGCUAAGGUGCCAUCUGGCAGGGCAAUGGCUAGAAACUUUAAGUGGAAUGCUGAGCAGAGCUAGGCUGCAGGAUCUCAAGUUUACCAGAUUUUCCGUACAGUCAUACCUCGGGUUACAGACGCUUCAGGUUGCGUCUUUUCAGGUUGCGUCCCGUGCCGAACCCGGAAGUAUGCAAACGGGUUACUUCCAGGUUUUGGUGCUCGCGCAUGCGCAGAAGUGCUAAAUCGCACUUUGGGCAUGCGCAGAAGCGCUGAAUUGCGACCCGCGUGUGUGCAGACGCGGCGCUGCGGGUUGUGAACACUGGGUUGCGAACGUGCCUCCUGCACGGAUCACGUUUGCAACCUGAGCAUCCACUGUACUAGUUACCUAACCCAACACAGUUUAGAGCCUCUCCAGACAUCCUUUUCAUUGAGCAUUCAAGAUGCACCUGAAGAAAAGAUGCUUCAUUUCUAAAGAACCGCAUAUCCUGUAAUUUCCUGCUAAAGUUGUGCUACAGCCCCUCUGAACAGCAAUAAUGUGGUAGCAUUGGGGAAGCAUCACAGAACUACUAACAAAGCAAAAUAAAUCUGCUACUAAUGCACUAUUGUUCUGUCAAUAACAUGUUUGCCGAGUAUGUCCACAAUGAAACACCAGUCUGGAGGGACCCUAAGCACAAUCCCAGCUGGGAGACAACCACAGUUUAAGGUGCUCAAGGUUACUGCUGUCACAGUUCUCCCCACCCAACAACCACCUUGUGAGUACAGGGACUAACAGCAGAACAACAAAAGAGGAUUUUGUGAGCCUUUAUGGACUUAAACUUUGAGCCUGAAGGAUAAACACCCACUGUCUAUUAUGCAUUGGUCUGGCUGCAUCUGAACAUAUUGCCUAAAAGCACCCGCCUCAUGUGGAAUCCUGUUUGGACAUCUGGAGGGCUGAUCGUGACAUACACAAUUAAAGGUCUUUUUCACACUGGCUGAAUUGAAGGAGGCCAGCAAACUUACAUUUGGAUGCCCAUCGCGGAGGACUUUGUGGAGAACGUGGCAAAACUUCCAACUGAGGAUGGCGCUGCUGGGCAAAGGGAGACC